AAACCACUUCCUCCGUCCGAAAAUACUUGUGAAAGGAGUGGAUGUAUCUAGAUGCAUUUUAGUUCUAGAUACAUCCAUUUUUACUCAUUUUUGCGACAAGUAAUUUCGGACGGAGGGAGUAGAAA
rfam:Hordeum vulgare subsp. vulgare, WGS project CAJW01000000 data, contig: morex_contig_2547976